rnacentral:rRNA from 1 species
ACGGGAGGCAGCAGUGGGGAAUAUUGCACAAUGGGGGAAACCCUGAUGCAGCGACGCCGCGUGAGUGAUUGAAGUAUUUCGGUAUGUAAAGCUCUAUCAGCAGGGAAGAAAAUGACGGUACCUGACUAAGAAGCCCCGGCUAACUACGUGCCAGCAGCCGCGGUAAUACGUAGGGGGCAAGCGUUAUCCGGAUUUACUGGGUGUAAAGGGAGCGUAGGUGGUAUGGUAAGUCAGAAGUGAAAACCCAGGGCUUAACUUUGGGAUUGCUUUUGAAACUAUCAAACUAGAGUGCAGGAGGGGUAAGCGGAAUUCCUAGUGUAGCGGUGAAAUGCGUAGAUAUUAGGAAGAACACCAGAGGCGAAGGCGGCUUACUGGACUGUAACUGACACUGAGGCUCGAAAGCGUGGGGAGCAAACAGGAUUAGAUACCCUGGUA